GCCCCGCGGUGGCAGUGUCAGAAAGCAGAAUGGAGGCGGCCCCCGCAUCCGCACCAGGGAGACCCAGGUCCCUUUGUGAACCUCCGCACAGCGCCGUGUGAAUGCAACCCUCAUCUUCCAGGUGAGAAAAUCAAUGCUUAAAGAAGCUAAACAACAAAUGAUCUGCCCACCUCGGCCUCGGAAUUGUGAUGGGGAGAGUGUUCCUGCUGCACGGGCGCCCCCAGAUGCACAACGUUCAGCAGAUUGAAGCCUGGGGGUGCUCACGCAUUGGCCAGGGUGGUCUCGAACUGCUGACCUCAGGUGAUCCCCCUGCCUCGGUCUCCCAAAGUGCUUUAGUAGAGACAGGGUUUCACCAUGUUGCCCAGGCUGGUCUCCAACUCCUGACUGCAUGUGAAGAGAGCUCAUUCAUUCAUUCCAGCCCUACACUUUGCAUUGCCUGCUCUACUGGCUCAGAACCCAAAUCCCUCAAAGUGAGGAGUCCCACUCACUGGGAAGCAGUUUUUGGUUCAGACUUCCCAUGGACCCUGGGAAACUUCCUCAGUUGUCCUGAAAGCU
rnacentral:lncRNA from 1 species